UUACUUUGGCAGAUUAGUGUGUUUGAUUUAGAAUCAUUUUAAGUGUUAUUACAGGUAAUA
rnacentral:tRNA from 1 species